AGAACCAACAAGAGAUCACCUGCAGAUUGGAGACUGAAGAAGCUGGUGGUGUAUUUCAAAAGCCUGAGAGGCAGAGGUGAAUGGUGUAGAUUUCAGUUUUAGUUCGAAAGCCUGAAAACCGGGAAUGCUAAGGGCAGAAGAAGGAAUGUUCCAGCUCAAGCAGUCAAGCAGAAGAAAAAAAUUCCACUGAUUUUAUAUCUCUUUGCUCUGAUUUCCGUGACAUGGCUUUGGGGAGGACUACACAUGGCCUACAGACACUUCUGGAUGUUGGUUCUCUUUGUCAUUUUCAACAGUCUGCAGGGACUUUAUGUUUUCGUGGUUUAUUUCAUUUUACACAACCAAAUGUGUUGCCCUAUGAAGGCCAGUUACACUGUGGAAAUGAAUGGGCAUCCUGGACCCAGCACAGCCUUUUUCACGCCCGGGAGUGGAAUGCCUCCUGCUGGAGGGGAAAUCAGCAAGUCCACCCAGAAUCUCAUCAGUGCUAUGGAGGAGGUGCCACCUGACUGGGAGAGAGCAUCCUUCCAACAGGGCAGUCAGGCCAGCCCUGAUUUAAAGCCAAGUCCACAAAAUGGAGCCACGUUCCCGUCCUCUGGAGGAUAUGGCCAGGGGUCACUGAUAGCCGAUGAGGAGUCCCAGGAGUUUGAUGAUUUAAUAUUUGCAUUAAAAACUGGUGCUGGUCUCAGUGUCAGUGAUAAUGAAUCUGGUCAAGGCAGCCAGGAGGGGGGCACCUUGACUGACUCCCAGAUCGUGGAGCUCAGGAGGAUACCCAUCGCCGACACUCACCUGUAGCACCUCACUAACCAUUCGACUGAGCACACUUUCAUAUUUGUAUCAGCUUUUGUGCUAAAACUCUCUAAGUACAUCCACCUGUGUAAUAGGAACCUGUGAACUGUACUGGAUGAUUAACACAAACGUGAUUGUUGUAUUUGGAGUAUAAAUUACUGAUUGUAUGUGACCUGAAAAUUCACUGCUAUAAGAAAGGUGGAGUCAGUUUGUAUCAGUUAAUAGGAUGUUCAUAUUCCAAGGAUAUUAGUUGUUUUUUUAAUCAUCCUAUAUGGCUAACAUUGUUUAAUGAAAGUAAUAAUCAAUAAAGCAAUAGAA
rnacentral:sRNA from 1 species